rnacentral:miRNA from 1 species
AGGAGGAAUUGGUGCUGGUCUU